CGUCCGCCGCUCCCUCCACGUCUGUGUCUACACCUAGGUAGGUUCACAGACGUGCACGUCAUUUUAUUGAUUCUCAGGGAGUCAUUUUAUUUUAUUCGAGGCAAUCUGUAGAAAGUAUUUUCAGAGAAAAGUUAUUGUUAAAGAGAAUAGUGCCUUCUGACUAUAUAGCAUAUACUUGGAUUUCCUAAUGUAACUAGAAAGAGAAAGAGCUAGGAAAUAUCAUACCAAGUUUGAAAUUCAGAAUGCUGAAGGAGACUGAAGUUGGAUCGACUGGCAAGUCAGAGAGUUGUCGCAGGACAAUAAAACAUGUACCCAAGACACAACAGCGGGAAGAAUCAAAGCCCCUGCCAUCUGGCUGUCAGCAGUGUGGGUUUCCUGUGUGGUCAGCUGUGAGGUGAAAACAGAGUUUUAGGGCUUGUGUAUGCGUUUCAUGAGCUCUCACUGGUGCUUUAGACAAAAUCCAGAUAGCCCAAGAACUCAAAGGAAGGUACUAAUAGGUCUGGGACUCAGACCACCAAGGUGUCAAUACUGGAGCCCUGAGAAGGCACAAGAAGGCAGGUUCUUGGAGCUUUGAAGAAACUACAAACUGGAAUCAAUUAGCACUACUAAACUAACUGUUACUGAACUGCUGGGGUCUGGUUGAGGGGGCUAGAAGCAAAGGGGAAGAAAAGUGUCAUUCGUUUCUUCCUUGGCUUCCAGAGGACCUGUAACACCACUAUUGGCACAACUAAUUGGAAGCCAG
rnacentral:lncRNA from 1 species